rnacentral:lncRNA from 1 species
GCCUGUGUCACCGUGGCGCUCCAUGAGAGCACAGAAAUACGUCGCAGCAUCCCCCAGCUGCGAGUCGGAGAUCUCCAGGCUGAAGGACUUAGCUGCUUUCUGGAAGUUCACAGAGAAGCGGUUUAACGUUGCAUUAUACUGCUUGUAUGCUUCUUGGAGAAUGACGAGAGUCACCUGCCCUCCUUGCUGUUUGUACCAGAACAAGAGCCACCCUCAUCAUCUUUUAUUGAUGCCAAUUGACAAAACCUGGAUCUGCCCACUACACAUCUAUUUAUACAGGCCCAUGACCUCCUCACAACAUAAGAAGCAUUUAGCCAAACUGUGAAAGCUCCAAUAGUCUUCAGCAGCUCCAACACUGUUCAAAAGUAGACCGGAAGUGCCGAACUGCCUUGCUAUCACGGCUCGCCCCUGCUUGGGAAGAUUAACACACUAAGAAGACUGAUGUCGGAAUAUCUUCACUGAGAUCAUAAUUAUUCUCCACGGGAAGCAUAGGGCUUCCCCAGCGGCAGCACGGAUUCCAUUUUCCUGCCUCUCUAAUGACCAGUUCUCAGAUCUCUGAACCUUGAGGAGAGGAGUUUUAUGAGGAGCAUGUGCAACUGCCACCCCAAGAUGGCAUCCAGGACGGCUGCCAGGUCUUAUGACCUGCGCCUGACUUCCUCAUUACCUCAGACUUAGCCACAUCCCAGCCGCCUGCACUGCGCAGACGCCAUGCCUCGUCAGCUCGCUUGAGGUGUUGUCACUUGCUGUGAACCAAUGGACUGCCGUUACGUGACUGGGGUGGAGUCAGUAGGGUAUUUAAGGCACACCCCGGGGUUGUUGGGCGGGGGUAGGGGGUGGGGGAUUCCCAUUCCUGCAUUGCAAUUGGAAGUGUUCCUGAAUAAACCUGCUUGAAGAAGGA